rnacentral:rRNA from 1 species
CGGUUAAAAAGCUCGUAGUUGGAUCUCGGCGGGCAGGGGGUGGUUCGCUCUUCAGCGCUACUGCCCCGCUUUGCCCGUGUGAUUGGCGGAGGUUUCGGGGUGCUCUUCGUUGAGUGACUCGGAGCGCCGUCAGGUUUACUUUGAAAAAAUUAGAGUGCUCAAAGCAGGCUUUUCACGCUUGAAUAUUCGUGCAUGGAAUAAUGGAAUAGGAACUCGUUUCUAUUUUGUUGGUUUUCGGAAAUCGAGUUAAUGAUUAACAGGGACAAUUGGGGGCAUUAGUAUUCAGACGACAGAGGUGAAAUUCUUGGACCGUCUGAAGACUGACUACUGCAAAAGCAUUUGCCAAGAGUGUUUUCAUUAAUCAAGAACGAAAGUUAGAGGUUCGAAGGCGAUCAGAUACCGCCCUAGUUCUAACCAUAAACGAUGCCGGCUAGCGAUCUGCCGAGUUUUUUUUGUAGGCUCCGCAGGAAGCUUUCGGGAAACCAAAGCUUUUGGGUUCCGGGGGAAGUAUGGUUGCAAAGCUGAAGCUUAAAGGAAUUGACGGAAGGGCACCACCAGGAGUGGAGCCUGCGGCUUAAUUUGACUCAACACGGGAAAUCUCACCAGGCCCGGACACUGGAAGGAUUGACAGAU